CUUUUGCCCUUUUCAUUUGUUGAAUUUUCCAAGCCAUCUCAUGUAUUGAUUUUCUUAGUACUUAUUAUUUUGGACUAUUUUGUAAUUUCAUGGCCCAACUUUGCCUGUCAUAUUAAAGUGUUCAUCACAUGGCCACUACCUUUGUUUGGAACAGAAAGAGCAAAGCAUGUCUCCGUCAUUUUACACUCUUCCUCUCUUUGGCGGGGAUGAUGACCUAGACGACGGUGAGAUCGCCAGCUUUAUUAACAGUGAGACCCAUUACCACUUCUAUUUCGAAUCAAAACCCACAGAAGAUGAGGUCCAAGAAAGAUCUCGACCGAAGAUCUGCAUUGUCAUGGCUUCAGGAUCCUGACUGAAGAUGGGGUACAAGGACGAUCUCCCUUGAAGAUGAACUCUUCUGACAACUUCACCAACAGAAUCACACGAGGUACUUUUGCUAUAAUUCGCCAAUUCUAGGCUGAGAUCGGUGUUCUUUUUUUAAUUUAAUAAUUUGAUUCUUUGUAACUCUGUGCUUUUUUAAUUUCAGAGAAUUUGAUAUUGAAGUAGUUGAUGUUUCUCUUUUAGCUCAACGUAGAAGAACUAUGAAUAUACAUCGGUCUUUUAGAUUUUUGUUUUACUGGCUUCUGUUUUCUCGGCUUCAAGAUUGCUCCAUUAUUUUUUGUAAGAACAACAUAAAUUGGGGAAUGAUACAUAGAUGGAGCAAACAAAACUGAUUUUCUUCUAUCAAGGAAAACUUUCAGUUAAAAGUGCGACCAAAACAAAGCAUAGGUUUACAAAAUUUCUACCAUGAUUCUUCUUCUUCUUCUUCUUUUAAAAAUUCCCACUUCCUCAAGCUUAUAGAUUGAAUCCAGUUCACCUCAUUAUGGAUUUGGAACAUAUGAUAUUGAGAAGGAAAUGACUGUGAGAGAAACCUUGGCAUUUUCAACGAUUUCUUUUAGAACCUUGGGCAGGUCUGGUUUACUGCUUUGUUGAGUGAAGUGAGUACAUGUUGUAGCUGUGUAUAUGCUGCUGCAAUCUGUGUAUAUGUUGUGGGUUGAUGGGUUUUACCUUAUGUAUUGCUUUGGUUUUUGUUGAGGGUUGAGUGACAAUAUGUAGCGCCCCCAAAAUAAUACAAUAAAGAUAACUCAUAUACAGAAUAAAUAUGAGAAACAACAUACUUUCAUA